GACGAACGCUGGCGGCGUGCUUAACACAUGCAAGUCGAACGCUGAAGCUCAGCUUUUGUUGGGUGGAUGAGUGGCGAACGGGUGAGUAACACGUGAGUAACCUGCCUCCUUCUUUGGGAUAACGCCCGGAAACGGGUGCUAAUACUGGAUAUUCACUGGUCUUCGCAUGGGGGUUGGUGGAAAGGGUUUUUCUGGUGGGGGAUGGGCUCGCGGCCUAUCGGCUUGUUGGUGGGGUGAUGGCCUACCAAGGCUUUGACGGGUAGCCGGCCUGAGAGGGUGACCGGGCACAUUGGGACUGAGAUACGGCCCAGACUCCUACGGGAGGCAGCAGUGGGGAAUAUUGCACAAUGGGCGCAAGCCUGAUGCAGCGACGCCGCGGGAGGGAUGGAGGCCUUCGGGUUGUGAACCUCUUUCGCUCAUGGUCAAGCCGCAACAAUGGUUGUGGUGAGGGUAGUGGGUAAAGAAGCGCCGGCUAACUACGUG
rnacentral:rRNA from 1 species